rnacentral:rRNA from 1 species
AUGAACGCUGGCGGCGUGCCUAAUCCAUGCAAGUCUAGCGAACAGACGAGGAGCUUGCUCCUCUGACGUUAGCGGCGGACGGGUGAGUAACACGUGGAUAACCUACCUAUAAGACUGGGAUAACUUCGGGAAACCGUAGCUAAUACCGGAUAAUAUAUUGAACCGCAUGGUUCAAUAGUGAAAGACGGUUUUGCUUUCACUUAUAGAUGGAUCCGCGCCGCAUUAGCUAGUUGGUAAGGUAACGGCUUACCAAGGCAACGAUGCGUAGCCGACCUGAGAGGGUGAUCGGCCACACUGGAACUGAGACACGGUCCAGAAUCCUACGGGAGGCAGCAGUAGGGAAUCUUCCGCAAUGGGCGAAAGCUUGACGGAGCAACGCCGCGUGAGUGAUGAAGGUCUUCGGAUCGUAAAACUCUGUUAUUAGGGAAGAACAAAUGUGUAAGUAACUAUGCACGUCUUGACGGUACCUAAUCAGAAAGCCACGGCUAACUACGUG